rnacentral:tRNA from 1 species
UGCUUAGCUCAGUUGGUAGAGCGGCGCCCUUACAAGGCGUAGGUCGGGGGUUCGAGCCCCUCAGCA